AUACUUACCUGGCAGGGGUGAUGCCAUGAUCAAGAAGGUGGCUCACCCAGCGUGAGGAUCAGCCAUUGCACUCCGGCUGUGCUGACCCCUGCGAAUUCCCCAAAUGUGGGAAUCUUGACUGCAUAAUUUCUGGUAGUGAGACCGCGUUCGCGCUCUCCCC